rnacentral:rRNA from 1 species
UACGGAGGGGGCUAGCGUUGUUCGGAAUUACUGGGCGUAAAGCGCACGUAGGCGGCUUUGUAAGUUAGAGGUGAAAGCCCAGGGCUUAACCCUGGAAUUGCCUUUAAGACUGCAUCGCUAGAAUCGUGGAGAGGUAAGUGGGAUUCCGAGUGUAGAGGUGAAAUUCGUAGAUAUUCGGAAGAACACCAGUGGCGAAGGCGACUUACUGGACACGUAUUGACGCUGAGGUGCGAAAGCGUGGGGAGCAAACAGG